GAAAUCUUCAAAGCAAACCUUUUGUUAAUUCAAUCGGUCUCUUGCUUUGGUAUUGGAGGUCUUUGCAGCUUCACACCUGCUCCUCUUUGUUCAUUAGCUGGAUCUCAGUGUUAUGCUUGGUUCCACUCGGCGUGAUAAGUUAUCUAUCGCUGAGGACACCGUAAAAAAGUGGCCAAGGUAAAUGCAGACGAACCGCUUCUAAUAGUCCAUUGACUUGGACAAUUAAAUUUUUAUGAUCUGAUCUCAAAUCAGGUAGGACUACCCGCUGAACUUAA
rnacentral:misc_RNA from 1 species